rnacentral:lncRNA from 1 species
GCAUGUAUUUGUAUGGGUAUAUAUUUGUAUAUGUGUGAAAGUAAAAUCAGAAAAGAAGAGGCCCUUUUUUCAUUUUUGGAUCGAUGUUCGGGUCGAUUUUUAAAACAUUGCAUAUGAUAUACAAUUUUGACCAAUCAUCUGAAACCUUAAAUUUAUGCUAAUUUAAUGAUCUUCAUCAAUUAUAUUAAAAUCCUUAAAAAUUUAUACCCUCAAAUUGAAAAAUAUCAUAAUCACCUUUUAAAAACAUAAAAUACCAUGUAAGAAGCAAUUUUUAAGAGAGAAACAAAAAUAGAAAUCAUAAUUACUCAUUUAAUUUUUUCACAGUCGAUUGUCUACCUCAAAAAAUUAUACAGAUACGAGAAACACAUUCUUGAAAUGGCAAUUCAUUUAUAUAUCCCACUAUUUACUAAACCACAAUUUCAUUUGCAUUACCAUAUGUUGACACA